rnacentral:rRNA from 1 species
GAUGAACGCUAGCUACAGGCUUAACACAUGCAAGUCGAGGGGCAGCAUUUCAGUUUGCUUGCAAACUGGAGAUGGCGACCGGCGCACGGGUGAGUAACACGUAUCCAACCUGCCGAUAACUCGGGGAUAGCCUUUCGAAAGAAAGAUUAAUACCCGAUGGCAUAAUUAGACCGCAUGGUCUUAUUAUUAAAGAAUUUCGGUUAUCGAUGGGGAUGCGUUCCAUUAGGCAGUUGGUGAGGUAACGGCUCACCAAACCUUCGAUGGAUAGGGGUUCUGAGAGGAAGGUCCCCCACAUUGGAACUGAGACACGGUCCAAACUCCUACGGGAGGCAGCAGUGAGGAAUAUUGGUCAAUGGACGAGAGUCUGAACCAGCCAAGUAGCGUGAAGGAUGACUGCCCUAUGGGUUGUAAACUUCUUUUAUAUGGGAAUAAAGUUUUCCACGUGUGGAAU